AGAGUUUGAUCCUGGCUCAGAUUGAACGCUGGCGGCAUGCCUAACACAUGCAAGUCGAACGGCAGCGCGGGCUUCGGCCUGGCGGCGAGUGGCGGACGGGUGAGGAAUACAUAGGAAUCUGCCCAGUCGUGGGGGAUAACCCGGGGAAACCCGGACUAAUACCGCAUACGACGGUGACGUGAAAGCCGGGGACCUUCGGGCCUGGCGCGAUUGGAUGAGCCUAUGUCGGAUUAGCUAGUUGGCGGGGUAAAGGCCCACCAAGGCGACGAUCCGUAGCUGGUCUGAGAGGAUGAUCAGCCACACUGGGACUGAGACACGGCCCAGACUCCUACGGGAGGCAGCAGUGGGGAAUAUUGGACAAUGGGCGCAAGCCUGAUCCAGCAAUGCCGCGUGGGUGAAGAAGGUCUUCGGGUUGUAAAGCCCUUUUGUACGGGAAGAAAUCAUCCGGGUUAAUACCCUGGGUGGAUGACGGUACCGUAAGAAUAAGCACCGGCUAACUUCGUGCCAGCAGCCGCGGUAAUACGAAGGGUGCAAGCGUUAAUCGGAAUUACUGGGCGUAAAGCGUGCGUAGGUGGUUGUUCAAGUCUGUCGUGAAAGCCCUGGGCUCAACCUGGGAAUGGCGAUGGAAACUGGGCGACUGGAGUGCGGUAGAGGAUGGCGGAAUUCCCGGUGUAGCGGUGAAAUGCGUAGAGAUCGGGAGGAACAUCCGUGGCGAAGGCGGCCAUCUGGACCAGCACUGACACUGAGGCACGAAAGCGUGGGGAGCAAACAGGAUUAGAUACCCUGUAGUCCACGCCCUAAACGAUGCGAACUGGAUGUUGGUCUCAACUUGGAGAUCAGUGUCGAAGCUAACGCGUUAAGUUCGCCGCCUGGGGAGUACGGUCGCAAGACUGAAACUCAAAGGAAUUGACGGGGGCCCGCACAAGCGAUGGAGUAUGU
rnacentral:rRNA from 1 species